AACUUUUAAAAAUUGUAUACACAAAGCAUAUAUACAUAUGGUAUUCAUGUGUGUAUGUAUACGCGUGUGUUUAUGCAUUUUUACGUUUACAUAAUACUAGUUUAAUUUUUUAAUCUCUUUCUAAUAAUAACAGAAACAUUCUGUAUUUAAUAAUGUAAAAACAAGUACACAAACUGUAUCUUAUUGUUUUUUUAGUGACAAUUGAUAAAAAUAGUAUAAAAAAUCCAGUUUUUAGUAUUUUUGAAAAACCUUCAAUUCCGUUUACUCCAGAUAAUAAAUACAACUCAAUUAGCUACGGUUACAAAAGAGAAAAAACUAUUUUUUUUUUUUUUUUACCACUAUAUAAAAUUAUGUAGCUGUUUAAUUAUAGUUUUUUUUCUAAUAUUAUAAUUCAUUUUUAUAAUUUGUACUUUUUUUAUUUCAUAUUUUUUUUUUUUUUCUUUUCUUUUUUAAAACCAUACAUAUAUAUAACACAAUACUGUGUGUAUAUAUUUUACUUUAGGACGAAUGGCAUAUUUUUUAGUAUUCGAUCUUACAAAUGAAGAAACAUUUGAAUAUGUUAAGACAAUUUAUUUAAACAUGUCAAAUAUUUAUGAUAAAUAUUAUGUAAUUAAUAAAAAAGAAAAAAAAAAAAAAAAAAUUCCAAGCGUUUAUUUUGUGUAUCAACAUAUUUAGUUUUUAAUUAACCUAUCACUUGGGUUUUUACAUAAAUAGUUAUUUAAGUUUUACAUCUUCGUCCUUAUUUCUUAAUCCAUCUGUUUAUCUACCUAUUUAUUUAUUUAUUUUAUUUUAUUUUAUUUUAUUUUUUUUUUUUUUUGUUUUAUUUUUGCUAGUCUCUAAAGCCGUUUAUAUCUCUUGUUGGAAAUAAAUCAGGUUAUAAUUUUUUAUUUUUUCCAAAUUUUUUCAUUUUUUUACCUUUAGUGAUUAAUACACAAAAGAAACACAUUUUAUGUAUUGUGCAUAUAUUUUUUUAUGUUUAUGUUUAUAUAUAGAUUUGGUAAAGAAGAUUGUGAAUUAGUUAGGCAAGCAGAACACUUCGCGACCGAACACUUGGUACAAUUAUGGCUCGUAUCAUCGCUUACAGGGAAAAAUGUUAAGAAGGUAAGAACAUUUUUUUUUUUUUUUUUUAAAUCAUAUAACGUAGAAGUGAUCUAUAACGUAGAAGUGAUCAGUUGCAAUAUAAUAAAAAUAGUGAUAUAAUUACUUAAGUUGAAAAAUUAUAAAUAUAAAAUUAUUCAAUUUUUUUUUUUUUCCAUUUCUUUUUAUUAUUUUUAGUUAUUCUUACAUAUGGUUAACAUGGUUUUCAAUAACACGAAUUUGUGGAAAUACGAUAUGGAAGAUGUAAUAUAUACAUAUACAUGUAUUUACGUUUACACAUAUAUAUAUAUUUACAUGUACAUAUAUGAAUGAAUAAACAUUUCCUCCCCCCCA
rnacentral:lncRNA from 1 species